rnacentral:rRNA from 1 species
GAUGAACGCUGGCGGCGUGCCUAAUACAUGCCAGUCGAGCGAACAGACGAGGAGCUUGCUCCUCUGACGUUAUCGGCGGACGGGUGAGUAACACGUGGAUAACCUACCUAUAAGACUGGGAUAACUUCGGGAAACCGGAGCUAAUACCGGAUAAUAUAUUGAACCGCAUGGUUCAAUAGUGAAAGACGGUUUUGCUGUCACUUAUAGAUGGAUCCGCGCCGCAUUAGCUAGUUGGUAAGGUAACGGCUUACCAAGGCGACGAUGCGUAGCCGACCUGAGAGGGUGAUCGGCCACACUGGAACUGAGACACGGUCCAGACUCCUACGGGAGGCAGCAGUAGGGAAUCUUCCGCAAUGGGCGAAAGCCUGACGGAGCAACGCCGCGUGAGUGAUGAAGGUCUUCGGAUCGUAAAACUCUGUUAUUAGGGAAGAACAAAUGUGUAAGUAACUAUGCACGUCUUGACGGUACCUAAUCAGAAAGCCACGGCUAACUACGUG